CUGAGUCUCAAUUUUAUCAACUAUAGGAGUGGAAUAAUCAUGUACACAGAACUUGUGGAAAAAUCUCAAUGUCUUCCAAAAUGCAGGAGAGAAAUUAACAUGAUUUAUGGACACAGAUAAGGAAGGAUCUACAGAGAAAAACCUACAUUGCUAAGUGAGUUCCUGGCAGCUAUUCAAUUCAUCCAGUGAUUAAAACAUGGCAUCAAAAGAGCAGAAGAUGUGGCUGUGAGAAGCUUGGGAAUGCAUUGUUGAAGUAGCACAUACUCCUCCAGACUAAGAGAUGAGAAGCCCAGAAGCUGUAGUCCCAGGCUUGCUUCUCUUUGAUUUAUUAGUCUUUAACCUGAUUCUGGGUCCCCUGAGGAUGAAGCCCUAUUCUAAAGGAAAAAGGAGACCUGUUUGCUUCCUGAUGGGUCUUGUGUGAUGAAGCCAAGUAAGUCCUGUCUAUUUUCAGAUUCCAGAGAUGCCUGGUAAGAAUUCAAUAGGCAUCUGAAGAGCUUUGAAUGAGCACACAGAUGAAAGAUCCCCCCUGGCCUUUGGCCACACACCCUGUUUACUUUCCAGAGACAAUGGGGGGUUUGAAGUGUGCUAAAGUAACAUCUGUGUGGUCCAAGACUGGAACUCAAAUUUAGUACCUGACACUUUGGCUCAUUGGUUAGUGCUCUACCAACUGAGCCAUGCCUUCAACCCCUAUGCCCACUGUUCUAAGAGUAGGAUAGACAGAAAUCCUAAAACCAAGCCAAGUAUGACAAUGGAUAGAAGCUUGGCUCACAUGGGACUGAGCAAAGGCAAGGAUAAAAUGGCUGAGUGAGAGCAGCCAUUGCCAAACAUGACGUUUGUGU